rnacentral:rRNA from 1 species
GGUGAGUAUCAUUCCUGCCCCUCAUGGAGGUAGGAAGUAGGUAUGAGGCCCAACCCCCAUUGCCCAAGACACCUAGCCCAGCCACACCCACAAGGACUUCAGCAGUGAUUAACAUUGAACAUAAGCGACAGCUUGAUUCAAUUAUAGUAAGAUAGAGUUGGCAAAGUUAGUGCCAGCCGCCGCGGUCACACUACAUCAACUCAAAUUAAUUUCUAUCGGCGUAAAGCGUGAUUAAAGCAAGCCCCCCCCCCAACUAGAGUUAAACAUAAAUUUUUUUGUUCAAACCUCAUUUAUAAGAAACACCACAACGAAAGUCACUCUAAACUA